rnacentral:rRNA from 1 species
UACGAAGGGGGCUAGCGUUGUUCGGACUUACUGGGCGUAAAGCGUAUGCAGGCGGAUCUUUAAGUCGGGGGUGAAAUCCCGAGGCUCAACCUCGGCACUGCCUUCGAUACUGAAGAUCUUGAGUCCGGGAGAGGUGAGUGGAACUGCGAGUGUAGAGGUGAAAGGCGUAGAUAUGCGGAAGAAAAACAGUGGCGAAGGCGGCUCACUGGCCCGGUACUGACGCUGAGAUACGAAAGCGUGGGGAGCAAACAGG